rnacentral:lncRNA from 1 species
GUCGACAUGUCAUACAAAGAUUAUUUGCAUUUACAACCUUACCAGAUCUAAACAUUCACUAAUGAAAGUCCUUAGUGCCUAAUCUAACUGGACCCAUACGUCAGCUAGCCUGAGAGGAGGAGAACAGAGCAGCGGCUGGCGCGGCAACCUGGCGGUGUUCUCGCCGGCGCCGACGACGAACGGUGGCCCUUCAGAGGUUGCAACUAAAAGAGAAAAUGAAGAGGGAAUGACGGCGAAGCUAUCGGUUGUGAUCUCGCAUGAUAUGGUGACGGAAUAGCGCUAGCGGCGAGCUCAAGCGACGGUGAGCUUCGGCAUGCAUGUUCAUGUCGAGCUCCAGCUUGUUUCGGUGUGAAUUGAGUGUAUGCAUGUGCCUCUACGGGGUGCCUGGGUGCUCACUUGAGUUCGUGCUUGCGCUGACAAAGCUUGGACGACGACGACGGAGCGUGGAACGUCCCGGCGGCGGCGGAAACAACAGGGCGACGGCGUCGGCUCCUUCCGGUCUUCGGGCUGCUAAGGAGAGGAGGGAAAUGGAUCAAAGACUACCUAAGGGUGCUUCACAAACGAGGAAUUGCGCCGAAGCUCACCCGGGAGCGAGUAAUCGACGAUGAUAGCCAGCGGCCGGACUUGAAGAAGAAGGGUUCGAUCUCGCGAUUUAGGGCUCUUCCGCUCAAUUCCUCCGGUGGAUGGCCAUCUGCAAACUAGGUGACUAUGGUGGCGCAGUGGCUCUGCAAGAGAUGGCUUGGAUCGUCGGCAACGGAGAUGUAGCCCACGGUGGUGCUCCGGACGCCGGGAACGCCGUCAAGCGCGACACCUCGUGCUCGACCUGCGCCAAAAGAGAAAGCAAACAAAGAGAAGGAUCAGGUAGAGGAAGGUGAUCACGUUCCCGUGGUUGGAUUGCGGCGAAGCUCACCAGAUAAGUCUU